rnacentral:tRNA from 1 species
AAGGGCUUAGCUUAAUUAAAGUGGCUGGUUUGCAUUCAGUUGAUGUGGGGUUAUACCUGCAGCUCUUA